rnacentral:rRNA from 1 species
CCGGGCUACAGCUAGUACAUGCAGUCGAGCGGACAGAUGGGAGCUUGCUCCCUGAUGUUAGCGGCGGACGGGUGAGUAACACGUGGGUAACCUGCCUGUAAGACUGGGAUAACUCCGGGAAACCGGGGCUAAUACCGGAUGCUUGUUUGAACCGCAUGGUUCAGACAUAAAAGGUGGCUUCGGCUACCACUUACAGAUGGACCCGCGGCGCAUUAGCUAGUUGGUGAGGUAACGGCUCACCAAGGCAACGAUGCGUAGCCGACCUGAGAGGGUGAUCGGCCACACUGGGACUGAGACACGGCCCAGACUCCUACGGGAGGCAGCAGUAGGGAAUCUUCCGCAAUGGACGAAAGUCUGACGGAGCAACGCCGCGUGAGUGAUGAAGGUUUUCGGAUCGUAAAGCUCUGUUGUUAGGGAAGAACAAGUGCCGUUCAAAUAGGGCGGCACCUUGACGGUACCUAACCAGAAAGCCACGGCUAACUACGUGCCAGCAGCCGCGGUAAUACGUAGGUGGCAAGCGUUGUCCGGAAUUAUUGGGCGUAAAGGGCUCGCAGGCGGUUUCUUAAGUCUGAUGUGAAAGCCCCCGGCUCAACCGGGGAGGGUCAUUGGAAACUGGGGAACUUGAGUGCAUAAGAGGAGA